rnacentral:tmRNA from 1 species
GGGGCUGUUCCGGUUUCGACAGGAUAAAGCUCAAGGUGGCGAUGCAGGCGGGAGUUGGUCAGCAGGCUCCCUCAUCAAGCCGACCCCAUUUAACUGCCAACUUUAAUUCCGAAUUGGCUGUUGCUGCCUAAGCAAUUAGGCAUCAACCGAGUCACAGUGAUCGCUAGGUAGCUGUCUCGUUAAACCUUGGAAAGGGUGACUUCGGUCUGCCGGACACGGGUGCUAGCUGGGGGUUCGAACCGUUCUCGGCGAACCUUGAGAUUUAGAGAACAACCUCACUGGAACGGCUCGUUCAUUUUCCCCCAGUGUUGGAUGUGAGUGAACCAAGCCUGUGGAUGAAUCCUACCCUGACGUAUCUUGGACGCGAGUUCAAUUCUCGCCAGCUCCACCA